rnacentral:rRNA from 1 species
CCAAUAGCGUAUAUUAAAGUUGUUGCAGUUAAAAAGCUCGUAGUUGAAUUUCGGGGUUAGUAAGUUGGUCAUGCCUCUGGUAUGCACUGGCUUUACUGAUUCCUCCUUCUUGAUGAACUGUAAUGUCAUUAAUUUGGUGUUGCAGGGAAUCAGGACUGUUACUUUGAAAAAAUUAGAGUGUUUAAAGCAGGCAUACGCUUGAAUACAUUAGCAUGGAAUAAUGAAAUAGGACGUUUGAUCCUAUUUUGUUGGUUUCUAGGAUUGACGUAAUGAUUAAUAGGGAUAGUUGGGGGCAUUAGUAUUCAAUUGUCAGAGGUGAAAUUCUUGGAUUUAUUGAAGACUAACUACUGCGAAAGCAUUUGCCAAGGAUGUUUUCAUUAAUCAAGAACGAAAGUUAGGGGAUCGAAGACGAUCAGAUACCGUCGUAGUCUUAACCAUAAACUAUGCCGACUAGGGAUCGGAUGAUGUUAUUUUUAAUGACUCAUUCGGCGCCUUACG